rnacentral:lncRNA from 1 species
GAAGGGGAUUUGUCUCUCGUUUAUGGAGGUUGGUUCAACAGCUUUUAACUUUUUACUUCCCCAUUUCAAUGACCAUCUAAUUUCGGUUACUUUUAUUUUUGGAGUAGCCAUCCGUCUACGUUUUGAUCUCAAUUAAUAAUGUAGUAGUGCAUGCUCGUUAUUGAUAACUGACAUAAUAAUAAAUAAAGUCAACAACACUUGACAUGCGAUAAGAUUUUUAUUGGUGGCAGGUCACUUGUAAAGACCGGAUGAUUUAGAUGAUAAGUACAACUAGUGGACCCCCAGGCCCACGGCCGCCUUUGAUUAAAAAGCAAAAGAUGCAAAUGCCAAAUAGAAAAGCCUUAAUUGGCUGAAUGACCUCAGGGUUUAGGAAUUAUGGCAUGACUUGAUGAGCAUGAUGACAUUUUU